rnacentral:lncRNA from 1 species
UGUGAUUCUUUGCCAAGAUAUAUUUUAUGUUGUCAGUAAAUUCAUUUAAAUGUUAUACAUCUUAAAGACCAUCUUACAUGCAUUUGUUUGCAUGUGUGUGGCAGAUGAAACUUUAAUCUUGUUCAAAUCGACUUUACCUUUCCUACUUGGAAUCUAUUUUCUAGGUCUCCACUUACUUUCUCCAUUUUAUAUGAUCCAAGAUCUUGCUCAGGGCAUGGCCCUGUCCACAGUUGGGACAGAUCUUCACUCAAUUAAUGUAAUCAAGAUAGUUCCCCACAAGUGUGCUUGGGGCCUGUCUCCAUGUGAAUUUUAGAUUCUAUAAAGUUGAGAAUUAAGACUAACUAAUUCAGUAACACUGAAUACUUUGUGUGUUACCUCAGUUAUUCAAAGUAAGCUGGACAGUAAGUAGAGAUAGAAUCGUAUCCAACUGGUCUUGGGUGCAAGGCCCACAGACUUAACAAGUUAUUGUAUCAAAUUUCUUUUUCAUCAUCUUUCUUCUUGCUUUGGAAGUGUGGAUAUUAUAUUAUAUUUCUGUGUAUUAUGUUUUUCAUAACUCAAUAUUGUUAUUUUGGACACUUCACUAAAAAGUAUUAAUGCUCAUUAACUUUAUGUGAUGAAUAUACCUGAGUGGAUUUGGAGUCACCGAGGAAACCCUUCCGGGUCUCUGAGAGUGUUUCCACAGAAGUUUAAUUAAGAAGGAGGAAAAAUAAACCCAGAAUGUGGGCUACACUAUCCUGUGGGCUAGGGACCUCGGCUGAAGACAAAAGGACCAAGUAGCUCCAGUCUCCAUCUUCAUGUCCUUCCUGACUGUGGACUCUGUGUGACCAGCUGCCUCAUGCCACUGCUACUUUUCCUGCUGGAAUGGGCCUUACUCCUCAGACUGAGUCAGAACAACCCGUUCUUUCUCAGUUAUCUUUCUCAGGCGUUGUGAGAAGAAGCUAACAUACCACCUCCCCACUUUCUUUUCAUUUGUAACUGCAUAACAGCACAGAGGCCUGGUUUUUUCUCUUUUUCUUUAAUACUGAAUUUUAACAAAUUAAUGGUAGUAGUAGGAUAUUUUUCAUUCUAGAGUUUAGUAUAGUUUUUAUAAUUAACAUCUAUUUACUCUUUUUUUUUAUCUAUUUACUCUUAACAGAAGAAUAGGGAUAAUACAUUUUUACUUUCCAACAUAUGUAUACUUAUUAAUAAUCAAGAUUUCAAAAAGAUACUAAUUACUUUUUAAUUUGUUCUUUGCUAACCAGCCACAUUCUAAAUGGAUCAGUCACACAUCAUUUAGGGGUUAUUCUUGACAAAGGCUGAGAGUAUCUCCCAUAUUAAAGACUUCAUAUAAUAUGUGAUUCUAGAACCUUAUAUUAGAAAUUUUAAAAAUGUUAUCAGACAUGAUUAGAAUAUAGACUGAGGUAAAUGACAUAAUUAGAAUUAAAACAGAUAAAAUGUUUCCAUGUUAAAUUUAAUUGCUGUGUUGCAUAUAACAAACAGCAUUGUCUUAAGAAACACUUCCACGUAUUGAAGAGCAAUGGGACAUCAAAUUAUAGCCUCCAUACUACAGUUCAGAUAACAUAAACAGAAGUGUUUGGUGAGGUGUGUACAUCUGUGGCAGACUACUCACAUAGCCUGUGAGGCCAUAAAUGCAGUUCCGGCACUGCAAAAGUAGACAAACAGAUGAAGUGAAUGUAUAGAGAGAAUGUUAAAGAUAAAAAGUAAAAGGAAGAAAGGAAUUUACCUGUUGUUACUUACUUGAAACCAUUUC